rnacentral:rRNA from 1 species
UACGUAGGUGACCAGCGUUGUCCGGAUUUACUGGGCGUAAAGAGCGCGCAGGCGGUCGUUCAAGUCGAGUGUGAAAGCCCCCGGCUCAACUGGGGAGGGUCACUCGAUACUGAUCGACUUGAAGGCAGGAGAGGGAAGCGGAAUUCCCGGUGUAGCGGUGAAAUGCGUAGAGAUCGGGAGGAACACCAGAGGCGAAGGCGGCGACCUGGACAAGUACUGACACUCAAAUACGAAAGCGUGGGGAGCAAACAGG